rnacentral:rRNA from 1 species
GAUGAACGCUAGCUACAGGCUUAACACAUGCAAGUCGAGGGGAAACGACAUCGAAAGCUUGCUUUUGAUGGGCGUCGACCGGCGCAAGGGUGAGUAACGCGUAUCCAACCUGCCCAUCACUUGGGAAUAACCUUGCGUAAGUAAGACUAAUACCCAAUGACAUCCCACGAAGACAUCUGAAUGGGAUUAAAGAUUUAUCGGUGAUGGAUGGGGAUGCGUCUGAUUAGCUUGUUGGCGGGGUAACGGCCCACCAAGGCAACGAUCAGUAGGGGUUCUGAGAGGAAGGUCCCCCACAUUGGAACUGAGGCACGGUCCAAACACCUACGGGAGGCAGCAGUAAGGAAUAUUGGUCAAUGGGCGAGAGCCUGAACCAGCCAAGUAGCGUGCAGGAUGACGGCCCUAUGGAUUGUAAUCUGCUUUGAUAAGAGAAGAAAGUGGGUCUCGUGAGACUUUUUGCAUGUACCUGAUGAAUAAGGACCGGCUAAUUCCGUG